UGAAUACGAGAUGCUACGGCGUCGAAGCAGUGUAUGUCAGACUUCCAAGAAAAGCUCGCAAUGUCAUAAAUAAAGAAUGCCUGUACCAUAACCGACACAGGUGGGUAGGUAGAGUAUACUAAGGGGCGCGAGAUAACUCUCUCUAAGGAACUCGGCAAAAUAACUCCGUAACUUCGGGAGAAGGAGUGCCUUCUUUAAGAAGGUUGCAAUAACAAGAUCCAAGCAACUGUUUAUCAAAAACACAGGUCUCCGCUAAGUCGUAAGACGAUGUAUGGGGGCUGACGCCUGCCCAGUGCCAGAAGGUUAAAGAAGCUGGUUAGCAAUAGCGAAGCUGGUGACUGAAGCCCUGGUGAACGGCGGCCGUAACUAUAACGGUCCUAAGGUAGCGAAAUUCCUUGUCGGGUAAGUUACGACCCGCACGAAAGGCGUAAUGAUUUGGAUACUGUCUCGGAGAGGGACUCGGUGAAAUAGACUUGUCUGUGAAGAUGCGGACUACCUGCACCAGGACAGAAAGACCCUAUGAAGCUUUACUGUAACCUGAAAUUGAAAUUGGACUUUAUUUGCGCAGUAUAGGUGGGAGGCGUUGAAAGUAAUCUUGCGGGAUUAGUGGAGCCAUCAGUGAGAUACCACUCCUAUAAUGUUAGAUUUCUAACUUUGGAUCAUGAUCUGGUCAAAGAACAGUUUCAGGCGGGCAGUUUGACUGGGGCGGUCGCCUCCCAAAUGGUAACGGAGGCGUACAAAGGUUUCCUCUGAACGGGUAGAAAUCGUAUCUAGAGUGUAAAGGCAUAAGGAAGCUUGACUGUGAGACCUACAAGUCGAGCAGGGACGAAAGUCGGUCUUAGUGAUCUGACGGUGCUGAGUGGAAAGGCCGUCACUCAACGGAUAAAAGUUACUCUAAGGAUAACAGGCUGAUCUCCCCCAAGAGUUCACAUCGACGGGGAGGUUUGGCACCUCGAUGUCGGCUCAUCGCAUCCUGGGGCGGUAGUACGUCCCAAGGGUUGGGCUGUUCGCCCAUGAAAGCGGUACGCGAGCUGGGUUCAGAACGUCGUGAGACAGUUCGGUCCAUAUCCGGUGUAGGCGUUAGAAUAUUGAGAGGAGCCUUCUCUAGUACGAGAGGACCGAGAAGGACAUACCUCUGGUGUACCAGUUAUCGUGCCAACGGUAAACGCUGGGUAGCUAUGUAUGGAGAGGAUAACCGCUGAAAGCAUCUAAGUGGGAAGCCCACCUCAAGAUGAGUAUUCUCAUCAU
rnacentral:rRNA from 1 species